AUUGAACGCUGGCGGCAGGCCUAACACAUGCAAGUCGAACGAGCGGCGGACGGGUGAGUAAUGUCUGGGAAACUGCCUGAUGGAGGGGGAUAACUACUGGAAACGGUAGCUAAUACCGCAUACCAUCGGAUGUGCCCAGAUAGGAUUAGCUAGUAGCUGGGGUAAUGGCUCACCUAGGCGACGAUCCCUAGCUGGUCUGCGAGGAUGACCAGCCACACUGUAACUGAGACACGGUCCAGACUCCUACGGGAGGCAGCAGUGGGGAAUAGUGCACAAUGGGCGCAAGCCUGAUGCAGCCAUGCCGCGUGUAUGAAGAAGGCCUUCGGGUUGUAAAGCACUUUCAGCUAGGAGGCGGUACCUAACGAAUAAGCACCGGCUAACUCCGUGCCAGCAGCCGCGGUAAUAC
rnacentral:rRNA from 1 species